rnacentral:snRNA from 1 species
AUACCUUCCUGGCAGGUUGAUACAUGCCAAGGUGGUUUGUCCCGCGGGGCCGAGGCUUGUCCAUUGCACAUCCGUACUUGCUGCAACUCGUGAAUUCGACAAACGUUGAUCUCAACUGCACAAUUUCUGGUAGUGGGGACUGCGUUCGCGGCUCCCUC